rnacentral:rRNA from 1 species
AGGAAGGUGGGGAUGACGUCAAGUCCUCAUGGCCUUUAUGCCCAGGGCUACACACGUGCUACAAUGGGUGGUACAAAGAGCAGCCAGCUCGCGAGAGUGAGCAAAUCUCAAAAAGCCAUCCUCAGUUCGGAUUGAAGUCUGCAACUCGACUUCAUGAAGUUGGAAUCGCUAGUAAUCGCGGAUCGGCAUGCCGCGGUGAAUACGUUCCCGGGCCUU